GACGAACGCUGGCGGCGUGCUUAACACAUGCAAGUCGAACGGAAAGGCCCUGCUUUUGUGGGGUGCUCGAGUGGCGAACGGGUGAGUAACACGUGAGUAACCUGCCCUUGACUUUGGGAUAACUUCAGGAAACUGGGGCUAAUACCGGAUAGGAGCUCCUGCUGCAUGGUGGGGGUUGGAAAGUUUCGGCGGUUGGGGAUGGACUCGCGGCUUAUCAGCUUGUUGGUGGGGUAGUGGCUUACCAAGGCUUUGACGGAUAGCCGGCCUGAGAGGGUGACCGGCCACAUUGGGACUGAGAUACGGCCCAGACUCCUACGGGAGGCAGCAGUGGGGAAUAUUGCACAAUGGGUGGAAGCCUGAUGCAGCAACGCCGCGUGCGGGAUGACGGCCUUCGGGUUGUAAACCGCUUUCGCCUGUGACGAAGCGUGAGUGACGGUAAUGGGUAAAGAAGCACCGGCUAACUACGUG
rnacentral:rRNA from 1 species